AUUUUUUCCAGACACUGGAGCAUGCCGGGUGAAUUCAGCACAGACCAACCUGUGUUGGAAAGGAAGUCAGGCACAGACACAAAAUAAAACAUCCAGCUUCUUUUCAAAAUAAAACACCCCGUGUUUCAGGCGGAUCGUAUUUCACACCAUGCAAACGGGUGGAGACAAACAAGUGAAAGGUUUUUAGACGUCAUUUCACCCCGAUGACACCAUGGAUGAGGAGAUGCUGAUUCUAGAAGUCUAGAAGUAGAUUUCCUCCUCUGGAAGGACACAAUCUACUGCUUAUAUGUAUGUGGCUGUCUUUAUAGAGACAACUAGUUAUCGCGUGAUCGAACGUGAAUC
rnacentral:lncRNA from 1 species